rnacentral:lncRNA from 1 species
CCCGUUUCCAUGCAUCCUAAGGCAGGAAUCUCCUCUCAGCCCACAAUUGGAGGUCACAAUGGGCAACAGCCUAACAAUUCCUACCUGAAAGGAAACACAGUUGCCCCAACACAGGCUAUCGGCCUGCCCGCUCCUAUGACUCAGCCACCCGGAGGGACCACAAUGCAGUCGGGGUCUGCGGGCUCUCAUUUUGACACGACUGGCAACAAGCAGACGGCCUUUGGUAACCAGCCAGGUAUUCUCCACUCUCCUCAUUCUACCCCGACUUUCUGUGGAGGUACCACUGGGAUCCCUAGCACUGGGAACAGUAGCCCACAAGUUACAGGUACCACUACAGGCCCACAGACGUUUGUGGGACCUGCAAUCCCCAUGGAUGGGCUUAAUGUGUCCACACCAGGUUCCAUUUGCUCACAGGCGUCUGGAGCAUUCAACGUUGCAGCUGGACUGAAGGCGACAUCCAGCACCCCUUCUGCUCGUCCUCUUGGUCAGAUAGCCUCCAAUCCAUCGCAUGGAAGUCCAGCUGCUGCUAUAGGAAGGGCGAGUACUGUCCCAGGAUUGGGACAUGCUUCUAGUGCCACUUUCCAUCCAGGCACCUGGGCCCACCUGCCCAAAUCACAGGGGGUACUGUGAUGGGAAACACCACCAUUCCCCCUGUUGGAGGCGCCAGUGCGCCCACUGCCAAUACAUGUCCCCAAGGAUCACUGGGACAACAAAAUCCGGGGAAGGAACCCCCCCAAGCCACAGCACUUCUCCGUGUGGAAACGCCACCACCACAAACGUCUCUGUGUCAAAGGUCGUGCGUGUUUCCCUCUUACAGAGCACCAGGGCCUUGCCUGGCCACACGACCUCACUUUUAGUUGCAAGAAUCAGCACCGAGAUCUCAGUGCUUCGAUGCACUUCUAGUUCUACCUUCCCGCCAGGCACCCGGGGCCUUCAGGGCUCUCAGAGCCUCAGGGCAGCAGGGCAGCAGGGAGCCAGGGUAGCAGGGCAGCAGAGCAGGGCAGCAGGCCUGCAGGCAGCAGGGAGGCAUGGCUGCAGGAAUGGCUUGGCCGCAGGGCUGCAGGCUUCCCAUGGCAACAAGGCUGCAGGCUUCGAAGGGCAGCAGGGCUGGCUACAGGGCAGCAGGGCAGCAGGGCGGCAGUGAUGCAGGCCUCUCAGGGCAGCAGGACUGCAGGGCAGCCGGGCAGUAGGGCUGCAGGUCUCCCCGUGAGGCAGGGCUGUAGGGCUGCAGGGCACCAGGGCUGUAGGCCUCGCAGGGCCACCGGGCUUCAGGACAAUGGGCGGCAAAGCUUCAAGCCUCCCAGGGCGUCAGGGCUGCAGGCCUCUCAGAGCAUCAGGGCUGCAGGGCUCAGGGUGCAGGGUGGCAGGGCUACAGGCCUCACAGGGCCACCUGGCUGCAGGGCAAAGGGCAGCAAUGCUGCAAGCCUCCCAGGGCGUCAGGGCUGCAGAGCAGCAGGGCNUCAGGGCUGCAGAGCAGCAGGGCGGGAGGGCUGCAGGGCAGCAGGGCUGCAACGUAGGGGCGGUAGGGCAGCAGGGCGGCACGGAC